rnacentral:misc_RNA from 1 species
GUGUAACUCGGUAAUGUCCAUCGUUCCUCAUUGUUCUGAGAGGUGGGGGCACUGUUCGAAAGGUGGGGAUAACCGCACGUGAAUAUGUCUAUGGUGGGGGUAAUAUUGCACGUUGUAUAGUUGAGUGGAGGGGGCACGACACAGCACGUAGUGGAAUCACUCGAUGGCCGGCAAUGUGCACCGCGUCAUCGUUCCAAGUAUCUCGCUGUUCCUUUUCAAAGUGUUAGCGUUAAUUUAUCUUUUCUAUAAUAACAAUUUCAAUUUCACAUAUACAUAUAUUUGACACGUUUAGAAAAAAAGAACAAUUGGUGUUGCCGAAGAGAAAUAAAUAUUAAACUAUUAAUUCUUCGAUAGAAAAAAUCAUAAUAAUAAGAAUAUUGACAAUUUCCACGAUUUCAAUUCACGUGUUAUAAGUGCCAUCGACUUUAUGUGUCUAUAGAAAUAUAAUUCACAUUUGACUUUGUUUUUUUCAUAUUCAGAUCUUUUUAUAUAAUGAAAAUACUUUUUUUAUUCAAUUAUUGACUUUCUUUAUACUUUCACUGAUAUUUCAUUCACCACAUACAUGUUCGUUCAUCGUAAUUAUUGGUCAAUGAUGUCAAAAUACAAUUAUUUCACUUUCUCAAACACUUCUUAUUGAUGAUUUGCAUAUUUCUCAUGUUCCUAUUAGAGAUGUAAGAUACUGAGUAAAAGGUGCGUGAUAUUAUAAAUGCAUAUAGUACCUUUUGAUGCUUUUGAACGCGACAAACAUUGUUGCUCGAGUGUAGUGAGUGCGUAUUGUGGGAGGUAACGCCUCGAUGCGAUCCUCCUGGUGAGGAAAGAAUCGAAAGUGGUGUUAACUGUUGAAGAUGGAGAGUCGCGUGCUUGGAGGACCCACGCCGGAAGAGACAACAGCGGCGGUAACCACAAGCUGCGGUAUCGGUACAGCUUCUCCAGUGUCAACGGCGCCGAUCAACGCAGUUCCUGGUGUCGCUGGUGCCGGCGCUCUCACUUCGGCCACUUGUACCAUACAGAAUCCUGUGGUCGUGGUGGCAAGUCCGCCGACGAAACAUCAGCAACCUGCCACCGUACUAUCCACUAUCCCUACUGUCCCUCCUGUUCCUACUGUCCCAAGUGUAUCCGCAGUCAGCGCGGUUACCGCUGCUGUGCCGAAGAUACUCAGCAGAAAUGUCAAUGGCACGCUGGUGCAGACAUCCGUACCUCAGAAUGAAGCGGAACUUCAACUGUACAGGGUGAUGCAACGUGCCUCUCUGUUGAGCUACUAUGACACGCUUUUAGAAAUGGGCGGUGACGACGUGCAACAAUUAUGCGACGCUGGGGAAGAGGAAUUUCUGGAAAUUAUGGCACUCGUUGGUAUGGCGAGCAAGCCGCUUCACGUCAGAAGACUUCAAAAAGCUCUUCAGGAGUGGCUUACAAAUCCCUCCCUUUUUCAAACACCGGUCGUUCCAACGUCUGCUACAUGCAAAACUGCCGCCGGCAUGGGAUUCCCCUGCGUGAGCCCCAGGCCACAAGUGCAAAAUCUUCAAGGUUUCACCACGGCCUCCCAAACACCGACUCCUACACCUUAUGUCUCGUCACACGUAUCCCUAACGCCAUUACCAUGCAGAAGUACCAGCCCCAUUGUAUCCGUGACAAGUGUAACGGCACCGGUUGCCACGACCACAUUUCGACAAAGUCCGAGCCCCAGCACACCUUUACCUUAUACCACUUCUCACAGUCCCGGCGUGUUACAGGUGGGAACAUGCGAAUCAUCUUGCGGCAGUGGUACAACCCCGAGUCCUAGCGGUGGCGGCGCACCUGCGAGUCCAACGCAACCCACCCCAACUCUUUUGCAAUCUCAAAUUCAAAGACUUGCAGAGGCUGCUGAAAGACUGGCCGCUACUGUCCGCCCGGUCGAUCCAAAGCCUCAUAAUGUUAAAAAAAAGAUUUGCAAAAAUUUGGAAUUGGUAAUGGCUAUGCCCGAUAGCGAUCCAAGGAGAAUGGAAGAAAUUCGAAAAUAUGCAGCAAUUUAUGGAAGGUUUGACUGUAAGAGGAAACCGGAGAAACCGUUGACAUUGCACGAAGUGUCAGUGAAUGAGGCUGCAGCUCAAAUUUGCAGGUUCGUACCUGCCCUACUUACUAGAAGAGAUGAACUUUUUCCUUUGGCCCGCCGUGUUGUGAGAGAUUCUGGCUAUCAUUAUUCAAAAAAUCAUUAUUUAUCCGUUUCGAGGCCACGUGAAAAUGGCGAGGAAAACGAUGCCGAGCGUACAAAGCGACAAAAGCUCGAGCUCGAGGGUGAGAAUGAAGAUGGGACGCAGGAGGAGUUGGAUCUACGUUGUCCUGAAAUGGAUAUAAAUAACUCGACAAUCAGAAGACAUAGAUCUUCAAGUUUGGAGGAAGAAGAAUAACAAUGGCAUGUUCAGUGCGAGUAUCGAGGAGAUAAGUGAUUCGGAUAGUCAACUUUCAUUUUCAAAUGAAGAAUCUUCGUCGAUACAUGACACUAAUGAAGUUGAAGCAGAUAAUACGGAUAAAGAAAGUGAUUUUAAUCUUAAGGUAAUAGCUUCGCGAGGAGAUAAUAUAAUUGCCGUGGCGAAUCCUGCAUUAAUGGAAUGUAAUCAUCCUAUAAAAGAAGAACCAGCAGAUGAGAAACCAACACUGUGAUAUUGUUAGAAAAUUGUAUUGUCAUAUUUGCAUCAUUCCUAGAAACAUAUUUUAGCUUAUAUUACAAUUAGUAUUAUUAUUAUACUCGUAUUUGACCAUUGUUGUAUAAUUUACUAUAAAAUUAAAUGCACAUAUAAUUUUUUAUCAAUUAUACAUAAUUUUUUAUCAAUAUUAUAAAUGUUA